CCCUUAGAUGUUCUGGGCCGCACGCGCGCUACACUGACACGUUCAUCAAGUCUAUAACCUUGACCGAGAGGUCUGGGUAAUCUUUUAAAAACGUGUCGUGCUGGGGAUAGAUUAUUGCAAUUAUUAAUCUUCAACGAGGAAUUCCUAGUAAACGCAAGUCAUCAACUUACAUUGAUUACGUCCCUGCCCUUUGUACACACCGCCCGUCGCUACUACCGAUUGAAUGAUUUAGUGAGUACCAGGGACCGAGCGCUUUGGUUGGGUUUCCUUCCCUAGCGCUUGGGAACUGUCGCAAACUUGACCAUUUAGAGGAAGUAAAAGUCGUAACA
rnacentral:rRNA from 1 species